rnacentral:rRNA from 1 species
GCGGGAGGGGGAGAGAAAAAGUUGAUAACGCUGGCGGCGUGCUUACCCAUGCAUGUCGAACGAUUAAGCCCUUCGGGGGUGUAUAGAGUGGCGAACGGGUAUACACGUGGGUAACCUGCCCCUGACUCUGGGAUAACUCCGGGAAACCUGGUGCUAAUACCUGGAUACUCCGAGCGGAUCGCAUGGUCUGCUUGGGAAAGCUCCGACGGUCAGGGAUGGACCCCGCGGCUGAUUAGCUAGUUGGUGAGGUAACGGCUCACCAAGGCGACGAUCAGUAGCCGAGCUGAGAGGCUGAUCGGCCACACUGGGACUGAGACACGGCCCAGACUCCUACGGGAGGCAGCAGUGGGGAAUUUUGCGCCAUGGGCGAAAGCCUGACGCAGCAACGCCGCGUGGGGGAUGAAGGCCUUCGGGUCGUAAACCUCUUUCAGCAGGGACGAAACUGACUGUACCUGCAGAAGAAGCCCCGGCUAACUACGUGCCAGCAGCCGCGGUAAUACGUAAGGAGCAAGCGUUAUCCGGAUUCAUUGGGGCCUAAGAAACAAAGAAGGAAGAAAG